rnacentral:rRNA from 1 species
GUCCACGCCCUAACCAUGUCAACUAGUUGUCGGGAGAGCAAUCUCUUGGUAACGCAGCUAACGCGUGAAGUUGACCGCCUGGGGAGUACGGUCGCAAGAUUAAAACUCAAAGGAAUUGACGGGACCCGCACAAGCGGUGGAUUAUGUGGAUUAAUUCGAUGCAACGCGAAAACCUUACCUACCCUUGACAUGUACCGAACCCCGAUGAGAGUCGGGGGUGCCCGAAAGGGAGCGGUAACACAGGUGCUGCAUGGCUGUAGU